CCUUAUCAAGAGAAGCUGAGGGAAUAGGCCCUGUGAAGCUCGGCAACCUGCCGCAUGGCAAGGUGCCAAAUCCUACGGAUGAAGAUCCGAGAGAUGAGG
rnacentral:ncRNA from 1 species